rnacentral:rRNA from 1 species
CGGCGGACGGGUGAGUAACACGUGGGUAACCUACCUAUAAGACUGGGACAACUUCGGGAAACCGGAGCUAAUACCGAAUAAGAUAUCGAACCGCAUGGUUCGAUAGUGAAAGAUGGUUUUGCUAUCACUUAUAGAUGGACCCGCGCCGUAUUAGCUAGUUGGUGAGGUAACGGCUCACCAAGGCAACGAUACGUAGCCGACCUGAGAGGGUGAUCGGCCACACUGGAACUGAGACACGGUCCAGACUCCUACGGGAGGCAGCAGCC